AAUAAAUGGGAUUUUUAUUCCUUCCGCUCCUCCCUGUGGGUCAGAGCAGGGGAUGGCAGUGGGGAUGGUGUGACAGAUCAAACAGGAGCCUCAGCACGCCCAGAUUUCCUGCUGCAGCUUGGACGUGCCAUUCCUGUGCCUCAGUGUCCCUCGUCGAACGCGCUGGGACACGGGGAGGGCACUGGGGAGUCCCUGGGAGAGGAGCAGGAAUGCUGCAGCUGCUUCCAGGGGCACAUGGAGAGAGCAGGAACCACUCCAGAAAUGAGCUGUGAGGAGAACUGAGCUCCACUUGAAAGGACUUGGAGGAAGCUCACGAGUGCUCGAGUUACUGCAUCAGUGGUGACGGUGGGGAGAGCGGCUCCUCUGCUCCAUGCCAAGGCAAAUCCUUGGGAAACAGGAUGGGAAUUACCCAGUGCAUUUUCAUUCCAGGGUGGUCUCAGAGGCACUGGACUCUUCACAUUUCAUGUCUGAUGUGCUUCACGCUGAGGCUGUGGAUAAAUGGACACAUUCACAGAAUCUCAGGAUGGUUCAGGUUGGAAGGAACCUCCCCAGAUCACCUGAUCCAACCCUUCUGCUCGAGCAGGAGCACCCAGAGCCAGCUGCCAAGGUCAGCUUGGACAGGACUUAAGGAAACUGAGUCAAGUCAGUCACAAAUGCAGGUCUGGAUUUCAGGAGGGCUUUGCUGUGGUUGCUGGAGAUGGUGAAUCUCAGGCUGGAAUGGAACCAGCGAAGUGUUGCCCUGAGAAUCAGGCCUUUUGAUAUUGUUUUCAUAAUUUCAAGCCACUUUCCCAAGAAAGUAACUAUAAACAUAGAUGUUUAUAUAUCCCAUUAAAGAUUUGCCUUUUGAUGGAGGUCUCUCAUGGCCAGUGUGGUUGGAAAGGUGGUGACCCAACCAUCCAAUCCCUGGUCAUUAUCAAAAAACCUAUAAAUACUGAAAGGACAAAAUAAACUUCUUUGAUCACA